rnacentral:pre_miRNA from 1 species
UAACCUCCGCAGGCUGGCCGGCCCUCAGGCCGCGCUGGGCGAGUAUCUCUUCGAAAGGCUCACCUUCAAGCUCGACUAGCAGC